rnacentral:rRNA from 1 species
GAUGAACGCUGGCGGCGUGCCUAAUACAUGCAAGUCGAGCGAACGGACGAGAAGCUUGCUUCUCUGAUGUUAGCGGCGGACGGGUGAGUAACACGUGGAUAACCUACCUAUAAGACUUGGAUAACUUCGGGAAACCGGAGCUAAUACCGGCUGAUAUUUUGAACCGCAUGGUUCAAAAGUUAAAGACGGUCUUGCUGUCACUUAUAGAUGGAUCCGCGCUGCAUUAGCUAGUUGGUAAGGUAAUGGCUUACCAAGGCAACGAUGCAUAGCCGACCUGAGAGGGUGAUCGGCCACACUGGAACUGAGACACGGUCCAGACUCCUACGGGAGGCAGCAGUAGGGAAUAUUCCGCAAUGGGCGAAAGCCUGACGGAGCAACGCCGCGUGAGUGAUGAAGGUCUUCGGAUCGUAAAACUCUGUUAUUAGGGAAGAACAGAUGUGUAAGUAAAUGUGCACAUCUUGACGGUACCUAAUCAGAAAGCAACGGCUAACUACGUG